GAUAAACGCUAGCGGCAGGCUUAACACAUGCAAGUCGAGGGGCAGCAUAGAUUGUAGCAAUACAAUUGGUGGCGACCGGCGCACGGGUGCGUAGCGCGUAUGCAACCUACCCGUCACAGGGGGAUAAUCCGGAGAAAUCUGGUCCAAUACCCCAUAACAUAUGGAUCGGCAUCGGUUCAUGUUGAAAUUUUCGGAGGUGACGGAUGGGCAUGCGUAGCAUUAGAUUGUUGGUGAGGUAACGGCUCACCAAGGCGACGAUGCUUAGGGGGACUGAGAGGUUUUCCCCCCACACUGGUACUGAGACACGGACCAGACUCCUACGGGAGGCAGCAGUGAGGAAUAUUGGUCAAUGGGCGCAAGCCUGAACCAGCCAUGCCGCGUGCAGGAUGACGGCUCUAUGAGUUGUAAACUGCUUUUGUACGAGGGUAAAGUGGGUUACGUGUAACCUUUUGAAAGUAUCGUACGAAUAAGGAUCGGCUAACUCCGUGCCAGCCGCCGCAGUAA
rnacentral:rRNA from 1 species